rnacentral:rRNA from 1 species
ACGUGGACAACGUGCCCUUAAGAGGAGGAUAAUCUCGGGAAAUUGAGGAUAAUACUCCAUAGAUCAUGGGAUCUGGAACGACCCAUGGUUCAAAGUUCCGGCGCUUAAGGAUCGGUCUGCGGCCUAUCAGGUAGUAGUGGGUGUAACGUACCUACUAGCCUACGACGGGUAUGGGCCUUGAGAGAGGGAGCCCAGAGUUGGAUUCUGAGACACGAAUCCAGGCCCUACGGGGCGCAGCAGUCGCGAAAACUUCACAAUGGGGGCAACCCCGAUGAGGGAAUUCCUAGUGCUAGUACUUUUUGUAUUAGCUUUUCUUCAGCUUAGAAAACUGAUGGAAUAAGGGCUGGGUAAGACGGGUGUCAGCCGCCGCGGUAAUACCUGCAGCCCAAGUGGUGGUCGAUUUUAUUGAGUCUAAAACGUUCGUAGCCGGUUUGAUAAAUCCUUGGGUAAAUCGAGAAGCUUAACUUUUCGAAUUCCGAGGAGACUGUCAAACUUGGGACCGGGAGAGGCUAGAGGUACUUCUGGGGUAGGGGUAAAAUCCUGUAAUCCUAGAAGGACCACCGGUGGCGAAGGCGUCUAGCUAGAACGGAUCCGACGGUGAGGGACGAAGCCCUGGGGCGCAAACGGGAUUAGAUACCCCGGUAGUCCAGGGUGUAAACGCUGCAGACUUGGUGUUGGAGACCCUUCGAGGGUAUUCAGUGCCGGAGAGAAGUUGUUAAGUCUGCUACUUGGGGAGUACGUCCGCAAGGAUGAAACUUAAAGGAAUUGCG